rnacentral:rRNA from 1 species
UUUGCAUAUCAAUAAGCGGAGGAAAAGAAACUAACAAGGAUUCCUCUUAGUAGCGGCGAGCGAAGCGGGAAGAGCUCAAAUUUAUAAUCUGGCACCUUCGGUGUCCGAGUUGUAAUCUCUAGAAAUGUUUUCCGCGCUGGACCGCACACAAGUCUGUUGGAAUACAGCGGCAUAGUGGUGAGACCCCCGUAUAUGGUGCGGAUGCCCAGCGCUUUGUGAUACAUUUUCGAAGAGUCGAGUUGUUUGGGAAUGCAGCUCAAAUUGGGUGGUAAAUUCCAUCUAAAGCUAAAUAUUGGCGAGAGACCGAUAGCGAACAAGUACCGUGAGGGAAAGAUGAAAAGCACUUUGGAAAGAGAGUUAACAGUACGUGAAAUUGUUGGAAGGGAAACGCUUGAAGUCAGACUUGCUUGCCGAGCAAUCGGUUUGCAGGCCAGCAUCAGUUUUCCGGGAUGGAUAAUGGUAGAGAGAAGGUAGCAGUUUCGGCUGUGUUAUAGCUCUCUACUGGAUACAUCUUAAAGGGACUGAGGAACGCAGUGUGCCUUACGGCGGGGGUUUCGACCUCUUCACAC